UGCCAGCCGCCGCGGUAAUACGAAGGGGGCUAGCGUUGUUCGGAUUUACUGGGCGUAAAGCGCACGUAGGCGGAUCGUUAAGUGAGGGGUGAAAUCCCAGGGCUCAACCCUGGAACUGCCUCUCAUACUGGCGAUCUCGAGUAUGGGAGAGGAAAGUGGAAUUCCGAGUGUAGGAGUGAAAUUCGUAGAUAUUAGGAGGAACACCAGUGGCGAAGGCGGCUUUCUGGACCGAUACUGACGCUGAGACGCGAAAGCGUGGGGAGCAAACAGGAUUAGAUA
rnacentral:rRNA from 1 species